rnacentral:rRNA from 1 species
UACGGGGGAGCAAGCGUUGUUCGGAUUUACUGGGCGUAAAGGGCGCGUAGGCGGCCACCGCAAGUCGACUGUGAAAUCUCCGGGCUUAACCCGGAAAGGUCAGCCGAUACUGCGGGGCUAGAGUGCAGAAGGGGCAACUGGAAUUCUCGGUGUAGCGGUGGAAAUGCGUAGAUAUCGAGAGGAACACCUGCGGCGAAGGCGGGUUGCUGGGCUGACACUGACGCUGAGGCGCGAAAGCUAGGGGAGCGAACGGG